rnacentral:lncRNA from 1 species
CCCGGGGGCCAGCAGAAAAGCCACAGGCUUGCGAAAUCCUUCAAUGAGCUCUCAGUUGCAUCCUUGGCCAGUGAGAAACUUCAGUGGGCAAAAAAAAAAAAAAAAACAAACCCCAGCGCCCCGAGUCCUUCACAGCUCAGAGCUUUGCUACGGGAUGACCAUGCGAGUGGCUGAUUCUGCUCCCUGAGCCCUAUGUCUUCUGCCUUCUUCUGCCUUCCCGAACUUCUUCGGGGCACGGCUUUUGCUGGUUUUUACUGUCAUCCUGAAACAUAAGCCUUCGAAAAUAAUAUUAUCUUACAAAAUCUCAGCAUAAUGCCAGCUCUUAUUAGAACUGAUGGCUGCUGUGGGUAAAAAAGAACAAAAUAAAUAAAAAUCGCAGUGUGUCCGUAGAGUCGAUAAAAAAUACCGGAGGAAGGUUUAUGCAAAGGCAACUUUUGAGGCAUGGGCAGAUGGAGUAGGCGAAAGGUGAAGUUUAUACAUUCUUUCCAAUUGGCUUGGCUGUGAUAAAGCCAGCAAAGCACUAGCUUUUUAUUCAGUGACCAUUCUGAUCUAAAAUUCUUUCUGUACCAGCUACGUAACUGAAAUUUCUGGUUAUUAUAAGUGUGGGGGUGAAUUCUGCCCUCUGAUGUGUGCACAAGUUCCGUUUUCCUUUAGGAUCAUUUGGGUUAAUGUACAUGCAUGUCAGGGCAGAGUUUAAUAUUAUUCCUGUGGAACAGCGAACAACGUUAGGUCAGACACGCCGGUUUCAUUUAAUACUAAGCAUGUUUAAGAAGAAAUGUCAGAGUUCAGUUCCGCUGGCUCGUGAUGUAAGUCAGGAAUUACUGAAGCCAGACACCUACCCUGCUCUUACACCAGUUUUGCACUAGGAUUACUCCACUGAAAUAAAUCAGCUCUUUAACAGGAAUCCACCGUACUGACGUAUGAGCAGUUCAUAAACUUUAUGCAAACAAGGAAAUCAUGUUACACAGCGCACUGAAGAGGGGCUGGCUGAAUCACCUGCACCCUGUAGCUGCUCAUGAAUGUAGAUGUUGCGAAAAGGAAUUGAAUUUAUAGUUAUGGGCAGCCUUUAGGACUUCGGCAGAAGCUCCGUGGAUUUCACUCCCUACAUUCAGUAGUUGCAUCUGUUUUAAAAGUAAAGAGUUGCCUGCACAAAGAAUCAUAGAAUCAUUAGGGUUGGAAGGACCACUCUAAGAUCAUCUAGUCCAACCAUUUGCCCAUACCUGUGACCGCUCUAGACCAUGUCCCUCAGUGCCACAUCUACCCUUUUCUUGAACACCUCCAGAGACGGUGACUCCACCACCUCCCUAAGCAGCCUGUUCCAGUGCAUCACCACUCUUUCUGGGAAGUUUUUCCUAAUAUCCAGCCUGAACCUCUCCUGGCACAACUUGAAGCUAUUACCUCUCAUCCUAUCACUUUUACCUGGGGGAAGAGGCCAACCCUAACUUGCUACAACCUCCUUUCAGGUAAUUAUAGAGUGAUAAGGUCUCCCCUGUGCCUCCUUUUCUCCAGACUGAAUAAUCCCAGUUCCCUUAGAUGCUCCCCAUAAGACUUGUGCUCCAGAACCUUCAUGGCUUUGUUGCCCAUCUCUGGACACUUUCCAGGGCCUCGAUGUCUUUGCUGUAGUGUGGGACCCAAAACCAAACACAGUGCUUGAG